rnacentral:siRNA from 1 species
GGGAAGUCCUCGUGUUGC